rnacentral:lncRNA from 1 species
GCCAUCACACUAGAGAGCUGUCUCAUGCCUCUUUCCAGCCAACAGUGUAACACCCACCUUCCAUCCACUGAAGCAGAUGCUGUCUGUGCCUCACACCUACCCCUCAGACCUUUCCAUGUGCUCUGGCUGACUCAACUGCCAACAUCUGUACUCUGUACCUGGUGGCCCUUUUUGUCAGAACCACUGCAAGCUGUGUUACCAAUCUGUGUGGCUGCCUACAAGUGCCAAGGAAUUCACAAUAUCAAUCCCCACACUGGAGUAACCAUCAACCAAAUAAUGAACCGCAAGUGGCAUAUAAAGGUGAAAUAUAAUUGGCCACAAGUUAUUUACUAGCCAAGCUUAAGAAACUGGCUUAAUUGGAGAACUCAAGGAACCUCUUGUUGUAAUUAUACCUGAAACACUAAUAUGUGCACAGAGAUCAAUACGUCAGACUUGAAAGGAAAAAUUUUAAGAUAUCUCCCCGCUCCACUCCUGAGGCCUCAUUUCUCUCUACUUCAUCUCCAGUUUUUCUCAAAAUGAUUGGAAAGGUGUAGAAGGUGACUGGAGGGCUCGGCCGAGUUCAAAGCUAGGCUAGAGUAAUGACUACAACUCUUAAAUGUGUCUAUUAGAAGGAAAUUAAAUUCACUAACAAAGAG